rnacentral:tRNA from 1 species
GAAGGUAUAGCUCAAGUGGUAGAAUGCAUGCUUAGCAUGCAUGAGGUUCUGGGUUCAAUCCUCAGUACCUUCU